ACUCAAAGGAAUAGACGGGGGCCCGCACAAGCGGUGGAGCAUGUGGAUUAAUACGUCACUAACCGUAGAACCUUACCCAGGCUUGACAUCUGUAGAAGGUCCCUGAAAGGGGAUUGUGCCCCGCAAGGGGAGCUACAAGACAGGUGUUGCAUGGCUGUCGUCAGCUCGUGUCGUGAGAUGUUGGGUUAAGUCCCGCAACGAGCGCAACCCUCACCGUCUGUUGCCAGCAUUCAGUUGGGCACUCUGACGGAACUGCCCGGGUAACCGGGAGGAAGGUGGGGACGACGUCAAGUCAGCAUGGCCCUUACGCCUGGGGCUUCACACAUGCUACAAUGGCCGGUACAAAGGGUCCCGAUACCGCGAGGUGGAGGCAAUCCCAAAAAGCCGGUCUCAGUUCGGAUCGCAGGCUGCAACUCGCCUGCGUGAAGCUGGAAUCGCUAGUAACCGCCGGUCAGCUAAACGGCGGUGAAUACGUUCCCGGGCCUUGCACACACCGCCCGU
rnacentral:rRNA from 1 species